rnacentral:lncRNA from 1 species
CGGAAACUACUAAUACGUAACGUAAGCCAUUUAUUUGAUUUAAAUCCCUACCAUUCAUGAAUGAGAUUUCUCCCAUCUUAAAUUAAAUUUAUGUAUUUCCCAAGCAAAUUUGUUAACUAUUUAUAUACACACGAACUAUAUUGACACAAAAUAUUGAGUGAGAUUGUUUUCAGUGAUAUUUCAGUGAAAUUUAUAGCAGAAUAAAAUAAUGGCAACCAUGUUUAGGAACAUCUGUCUUGCUCUCCUCCUUUUUGUUGAAGUGGCGGUAUGUGUUCAAAAACUCCAAGAACAUUUUCAAUGGAACAUUUUAGAUUAUGAGUUUCCCACAGAAGCUAUUCGAAGGAAUGCUUUACUGACAGGAAGAUUUAA